UGGGGCAGCCCUGUUGGGCACGCGUGAUUGGGGGAAUGGAGGAGGCUAGGGCAUGAAAGGGGAUGGCAGAGGGGACCCUGACUUGGAGGAAAGACAAUGAGCUCACCCCUUUGUGCCCUAUGUUGGGGGCAGUGUUGGUGCAUCCUACAGGACAUGACCAGCAGACAGAAGAGCAGCUGUAGGAUGAGAAGAUGAACUCAGAGAUGCAGCGUGAGGCCUCCAGGUCCAGACAGCUCUGGAGCCCAAAGUGAUGAGCCGUGCAUUGAUGUUAAAACGGAGGUUAUAAAUAUUUAAAGUGUCACCCAAGUGUGUUCUAAUAUAAAUGCUGUGACCCUGAGGUCCUGGGGAUUGAGAGAGGAAGUGAUGUCACUGUGGGAACUGCCCUGUGGGGACAAGGACGUCCGUCAUCCUCUGCUCCUGCUCACAGUGACAUUGAUCUGGUAACGCCCCUGUCCUGGCCUGACCCUGCCAUGGGCACCAGGCUCCUCUGCUGGGUGGUCCUGGGUUUCCUAGGGACAGAUCACACAGGUGCUGGAGUCUCCCAGUCCCCGAGGUACAAAGUCACGAAGAGGGGACAGGAUGUAGCUCUCAGGUGUGAUCCAAUUUCGGGUCAUGUAGCCCUUUAUUGGUACCGACGGACUCUGGGACAGGGGCCAGAGCUUCUGACUUACUUCCAGAAUGAUGCUCAACCAGACAAAUCAGGGCUGCCCAGUGAUCGCUUCUCUGCAGAGAGGACUGAGGGAUCCGUCUCCACUCUGAAGAUCCAGCGCACAGAGCAGGGGGACUCGGCCGUGUUUCUCUGUGCCAGCAGCUUAGCCACAGCGUGGCACAGUCGUCUCCUUCCUGUUCACAAACCUCGUCCUUCUCUCUCCUUGAAGCUACUAGAGACCCUUAGCAGAGGCCUCUCUUUCUCCUUACUUUUCAUGGGAAAGGAGUAGAUUUGGACAUCGGCUGUCCUUUGGGUAGAAAGAGACCACAGAUUCAUUCGUGAAACACAGUGACUGCAAAUGUAGGUGGUGAAAACAAUCACGGCCCGCUGCACUCUAGGAGUCCUCGGAACCAGCUCACUUCUUCAAGCAAGGAGUGGGUGUCUUAGCCUCGGCCUUCAGGGCAGACAUGCAUCUUCUAUAGGUCUUGGAGGCUGCAGUGUUGCCCACAUACUUGAGGUUGUCAAAAGCAGGAAACAUGCUUUUCUCAUGCGUAUGUUGAGGCAUCUGGAAGGUCUGAGGCUACAUCCCAGGAACAUCUUUCUUCUGAAGCCUCUUCUAUCCCUGUCACCUUGGAAGUUUUCUGCAACAAAAUAUCAAACCUCUCUACCUGUUUAAAAUACAGGUCUUUGCAAAUUUUUGGUCCUUACUUGAUAAAUACAAUCAUGAUAACAGUAAGACUUCAUUUCAUCUACCUACUUUAAGCCAUGUGUAUCCUUUAUUUUGUUUCCAUUUGCCAUUGCUGCUGUCCUGAUAGACAGAAGCAUGCAUUCACCACCGCUGU